rnacentral:rRNA from 1 species
UACGAAGGGGGCUAGCGUUGCUCGGAAUCACUGGGCGUAAAGCGCACGUAGGCGGAUCGCUAAGUCAGGGGUGAAAUCCUGGAGCUCAACUCCAGAACUGCCUUUGAUACUGGCAAUCUCGAGUCCGGGAGAGGUGAGUGGAACUGCGAGUGUAGAGGUGAAAUUCGUAGAUAUUCGGAAGAACACCAGUGGCGAAGGCGACUUACUGGACACAUAUUGACGCUGAGGUGCGAAAGCGUGGGGAGCAAACAGG